GCUGGGUGUGGUGGCGCAUGCCUGUAGUCCCAGCUACUCAGGAGGCUGAGGCAGGAGAAUCGCUUGAACCCAGGAGGCAGAGGUUGCAGUGAGCUGAGAUCCCGCCACUGCACUCCAGCCUGGGCGACAGAGCAAGACUCUGCCUCAA
rnacentral:SRP_RNA from 1 species